rnacentral:rRNA from 1 species
CAGUCGCCGCAGUAAUACGAAGGGUGCAAGCGUUACUCGGAAUUACUGGGCGUAAAGCGUGCGUAGGUGGUGGUUUAAGUCCGUUGUGAAAGCCCUGGGCUCAACCUGGGAAUUGCAGUGGAUACUGGGUCACUAGAGUGUGGUAGAGGAUAGUGGAAUUUCCGGUGUAGCAGUGAAAUGCGUAGAGAUCGGAAGGAACAUCUGUGGCGAAGGCGACUAUCUGGGCCAACACUGACACUGAGGCACGAAAGCGUGGGGAGCAAACAGGAUUAGAUACCCCAGUAGUCCCUGUCUCUUAUAC